rnacentral:rRNA from 1 species
UACGGAGGGAGCUAGCGUUGUUCGGAAUUACUGGGCGUAAAGCGCGCGUAGGCGGCUGUUCAAGUCAGAGGUGAAAGCCCGGGGCUCAACCCCGGAACUGCCUUUGAGACUAGAUAGCUAGAAUCAUGGAGAGGUCAGUGGAAUUCCGAGUGUAGAGGUGAAAUUCGUAGAUAUUCGGAAGAACACCAGUGGCGAAGGCGACUGACUGGACAUGUAUUGACGCUGAGGUGCGAAAGCGUGGGGAGCAAAC